rnacentral:rRNA from 1 species
GGGAAACCCCCUCGCCGAAAGACUAAGGUUUCCUGAUCAACGCUAAUCGGAUCAGGGUCAGUCGGGUCCUAAGGCUCAGCCGAACGGCGAUGCCGAUGGCAGAAACGGUUAAUAUUCCGUUACUACCUUCAGGAGUGACGUGGAGACGCAGUAGUGACAGUGCCGCCAUCUGACGGAAUAGAUGGUUGAAGGGUGUAGGAGUCGAUCAUGGCAGGCAAAUCCACCAUGAGAUCCGAACCUGAUAGUAUGCCGCGUCCUUCGGGACAAGGCAAUAGUGCGCGUAAGCAUGCUGCCGAGAAAAUCCGCUAAACUUAAUCCUGCAGGUACCCGUACCGCAAACGGACACACGUAGUCGGGAUGAAUAUUCUAAGGCGCUUGAGUGAUUCACGGUUAAGGAACUAGGCAAACUGACCCUGUAACUUCGGGAUAAAGGGUCCCUACCCUUUUAUGGGAGGGCGCAGAGAAUCGGUCCAGGCAACUGUUUAACAAAAACACAGGGCUGUGCCAAAUCGAAAGAUCCAGUAUACAGCCUGACACCUGCCCGGUGCUGGAAGGUUAAGAGGAGAUGUCAUCGAUAAGAGAAGCGUUGAAUUGAAGCCCCAGUAAACGGCGGCCGUAACUAUAACGGUCCUAAGGUAGCGAAAUUCCUUGUCGGGUAAGUUCCGACCUGCACGAAUGGUGUAAUGAUCUGGACGCUGUCUCAACCGUGAGCUCAGUGAAAUUGUAGUAUCGGUGAAGAUGCCGAUUACCCGCGAUGGGACGAAAAGACCCCGUGAACCUUUACUAUAGCUUAUCAUUGAAUCUGGGCACGUGAUGUGUAGGAUAGGUCGGAGGCUUUGAAGCAGGUACGCCAGUAUUUGUGGAGCCGCUGUUGAAAUACGACCCUUUAUUUGUUUGGAUUCUAACCCGUGGAUACGGGGACAUUGAUUGGUGGGUAGUUUGACUGGGGUGGUCGCCUCCAAAAGCGUAACGGAGGCUUCUAAAGGUGCCCUCACGACGAUUGGUAACCGUCGGCAGAGUGUAAUGGCAUAAGGGCGCUUGACUGGGAGACUUACAAGUCGAUCAGGUAGGAAACUAGAGCAUAGUGAUCCGGUGUUUCCGUAUGGAAGGGACAUCGCUCAAAGGAUAAAAGGUACUCCGGGGAUAACAGGCUGAUCCCUCCCAAGAGCUCAUAUCGACGGAGUGGUUUGGCACCUCGAUGUCGGCUCGUCACAUCCUGGGGCUGGAGAAGGUCCCAAG